CCUCCGGGGGGCAGCAGUGAGGAAUAUUGGUCAAUGGCCGUAAGGCUGAACCAGCCAAGUCGCGUGAAGGAAGAAGGAUCUCUGGUUUGUAAACUUCUUUUAUAGGGGAAUAAAGGUAUCCACGGGUGGAUAUUGGCAUGUCCCCUAUGAAUAAGCAUCGGCUAACUCCGUGCCAGCAGCCGCGGUAAUACGGAGGAUGCGAGGGUUUUCCGGAUUUAUUGGGUUUAAAGGGUGCGUAGGUUGUGUGUUAAGUCAGCGGGGAAAGUUUGUGGCUCAACCAUAAAAUUGCCGUUGAACCUGGAAGACUUGAGUGUGGUUGAGGUAGGCGGAAUGCGUGGUGUAGCGGUGAAAUGCAUAGAUAUCACGAAGAACUCCGAGUGCGAAGGCAGCUUACUAAGCCAUAACUGACACUGAAGCACGAAAGCGUGGGGAUCAAACAGGAUUAGAUACCCUGGUAGUC
rnacentral:rRNA from 1 species